CCAGACCGAGCAUCGCCGCGUGAGUGAAGAAGGUUUUGGAUCGUAAAGCUCUGUUGUAAGAGAAGAACGGGUGUGAGAGUGGAAAGUUCACACUGUGACGGUAUCUUACCAGAAAGGGACGGCUAACUACGUGCCAGCAGCCGCGGUAAUAGGUAGGUCCCGAGCGUUGUCCGGAUUUAUUGGGCGUAAAGCGAGCGCAGGCGGUUAGAUAAGUCUGAAGUUAAAGGCUGUGGCUUAACCAUAGUAUGCUUUGGAAACUGUUUAACUUGAGUGCAGAAGGGGAGAGUGGAAUUCCAUGUGUAGCGGUGAAAUGCGUAGAUAUAUGGAGGAACACCGGUGGCGAAGGCGGCUCUCUGGUCUGUAACUGACGCUGAGGCUCGAAAGCGUGGGGAGCAAACAGGAUUAGAUACCCUGGUAGUCCACGCCGUAAACGAUGAGUGCUAGGUGUUAGGCCCUUUCCGGGGCUUAGUGCCGCAGCUAA
rnacentral:rRNA from 1 species